AGCGGGGUAGAGCAGAUGGCAGCUCGCCAGGCCCAUAACCUGGAGGUCGCCGGUUCGAGUCCGGCCCCCGCAA
rnacentral:tRNA from 1 species